CUACGUGCCAGCAGCCGCGGUAAUACGUAGGUGGCAAGCGUUGUCCGGAUUUAUUGGGCGUAAAGCGAGCGCAGGCGGUUCCUUAAGUCUGAUGUGAAAGCCCCCGGCUCAACCGGGGAGGGUCAUUGGAAACUGGGGAACUUGAGUGCAGAAGAGGAGAGUGGAAUUCCAUGUGUAGCGGUGAAAUGCGUAGAUAUAUGGAGGAACACCAGUGGCGAAGGCGACUCUCUGGUCUGUAACUGACGCUGAGGCUCGAAAGCGUGGGUAGCAAACAGGAUUAGAUACCCUGGUAGUCCACGCCGUAAACGAUGAGUGCUAAGUGUUGGAGGGUUUCCGCCCUUCAGUGCUGCAGUUAACGCAUUAAGCACUCCGCCUGGGGAGUACGACCGCAAGGUUGAAACUCAAAGGAAUUGACGGGGGCCCGCACAAGCGGUGGAGCAUGUGGUUUAAUUCGAAGCAACGCGAAGAACCUUACCAGGUCUUGACAUCCCUCUGACCACUCUAGAGAUAGAGUUUUC
rnacentral:rRNA from 1 species